UACGGAGGGUGCAAGCGUUGUUCGGAAUUACUGGGCGUAAAGGGCGCGUAGGCGGUUCGGUAAGUCCUGUGUGAAAUCCCUCGGCUCAACUGAGGAACUGCACGGGAGACUGCCGGGCUUGAGUUCGGGAGAGGGAAGCGGAAUUCCGGGUGUAGCGGUGAAAUGCGUAGAUAUCCGGAGGAACACCGGUGGCGAAGGCGGCUUCCUGGACCGACACUGACGCUGAGGCGCGAAAGCUAGGGGAGCAAACGGG
rnacentral:rRNA from 1 species